UACGAAGGGGGCUAGCGUUGCUCGGAAUGACUGGGCGUAAAGGGCGCGUAGGCGGCUCAUACAGUCAGAUGUGAAAUUCCUGGGCUUAACCUGGGGGCUGCAUUUGAUACGUGUGAGCUUGAGUGGGGAAGAGGGUCGUGGAAUUCCCAGUGUAGAGGUGAAAUUCGUAGAUAUUGGGAAGAACACCGGUGGCGAAGGCGGCGACCUGGUCCUUGACUGACGCUGAGGCGCGAAAGCGUGGGGAGCAAACAGG
rnacentral:rRNA from 1 species